rnacentral:rRNA from 1 species
GACGAAGGUGGCAAGCGUUGUUCGGAAUCACUGGGCUUAAAGGGCGCGUAGGCGGCUUGUCAAGUGUCUGGUGAAAGACCCCGGCUCAACCGGGGAACGGCUGGGCAAACUGACGAGCUUGAGGCAGGUAGGGGCGAGUGGAACUCUUGGUGGAGCGGUGGAAUGCGUAGAUAUCAAGAGGAACGCCGGAGGCGAAGGCGACUCGCUGGGCCUGUCCUGACGCUGAGGCGCGAAAGCCAGGGGAGCAAACGGGAUUAGAUACCCCCGUA